GAUGAACGCUGGCGGCGUGCCUAAUACAUGCAAGUCGAACGCUUUGUGGUUCAACUGAUUUGAAGAGCUUGCUCAGAUAUGACGAUGGACAUUGCAAAGAGUGGCGAACGGGUGAGUAACACGUGGGAAACCUACCUCUUAGCAGGGGAUAACAUUUGGAAACAGAUGCUAAUACCGUAUAACAAUGACAACCGCAUGGUUGUUAUUUAAAAGAUGGUUCUGCUAUCACUAAGAGAUGGUCCCGCGGUGCAUUAGCUAGUUGGUAAGGUAAUGGCUUACCAAGGCGAUGAUGCAUAGCCGAGUUGAGAGACUGAUCGGCCACAAUGGGACUGAGACACGGCCCAUACUCCUACGGGAGGCAGCAGUAGGGAAUCUUCCACAAUGGGCGAAAGCCUGAUGGAGCAACGCCGCGUGUGUGAUGAAGGGUUUCGGCUCGUAAAACACUGUUGUAAGAGAAGAAUGACAUUGAGAGUAACUGUUCAAUGUGUGACGGUAUCUUACCAGAAAGGAACGGCUAAAUACGUGCCAGCAGCCGCGGUAAUACGUAUGUUCCAAGCGUUAUCCGGAUUUAUUGGGCGUAAAGCGAGCGCAGACGGUUAUUUAAGUCUGAAGUGAAAGCCCUCAGCUCAACUGAGGAAUUGCUUUGGAAACUGGAUGACUUGAGUGCAGUAGAGGAAAGUGGAACUCCAUGUGUAGCGGUGAAAUGCGUAGAUAUAUGGAAGAACACCAGUGGCGAAGGCGGCUUUCUGGACUGUAACUGACGUUGAGGCUCGAAAGUGUGGGUAGCAAACAGGAUUAGAUACCCUGCUAGUCCACACCGUAAACGAUGAGUGCUAGGUGUUUGAGGGUUCCGCCCUUAAGUGCCGCAGCUAACGCAUUAAGCACUCCGCCUGGGGAGUACGACCGCAAGGUUGAAACUCAAAGGAAUUGACGGGGACCCGCACAAGCGGUGGAGCAUGUGGUUUAAUUCGAAGCAACGCGAAGAACCUUACCAGGUCUUGACAUCCCUUGACAACUCCAGAGAUGGAGCGUUCCCUUCGGGGACAAGGUGACAGGUGGUGCAUGGUUGUCGUCAGCUCGUGUCGUGAGAUGUUGGGUUAAGUCCCGCAACGAGCGCAACCCUUAUUACUAGUUGCCAGCAUUCAGUUGGGCACUCUAGUGAGACUGCCGGUGACAAACCGGAGGAAGGUGGGGAUGACGUCAAAUCAUCAUGCCCCUUAUGACCUGGGCUACACACGUGCUACAAUGGCGUAUACAACGAGUUGCCAACCCGCGAGGGUGAGCUAAUCUCUUAAAGUACGUCUCAGUUCGGAUUGUAGGCUGCAACUCGCCUACAUGAAGUCGGAAUCGCUAGUAAUCGCGGAUCAGCACGCCGCGGUGAAUACGUUCCCGGGUCUUGUACACACCGCCCGUCACACCAUGAGAGUUUGUAACACCCAAAGCCGGUGGGGUAACCUUCGGGAGCCAGCCGUCUAAGGUGGGACAGAUGAUUAGGGUG
rnacentral:rRNA from 1 species